AUCCAGCUGACGAGUCCCAAAGGAGAUGAAACGCGCGUCCUGGAU
rnacentral:hammerhead_ribozyme from 1 species